rnacentral:rRNA from 1 species
UACGAAGGGGGCUAGCGUUGCUCGGAAUCACUGGGCGUAAAGGGUGCGUAGGCGGGUCUUUAAGUCAGAGGUGAAAUCCUGGAGCUCAACUCCAGAACUGCCUUUGAUACUGAGGAUCUUGAGUACGGGAGAGGUGAGUGGAACUGCGAGUGUAGAGGUGAAAUUCGUAGAUAUUCGCAAGAACACCAGUGGCGAAGGCGGCUCACUGGCCCGUUACUGACGCUGAGGCACGAAAGCGUGGGGAGCAAACAGG